rnacentral:rRNA from 1 species
GGUGCUUCGGGAUGGGCCUGCGUGGCUAUCAGCUAGUCGUGCUGGGGUAAUGGCCCACCAAGGCGAAGACGGGUAAGGGGCUUUAUAGCGCGGGCCCCCACACUGGCACUGACAUACGGGCCAGACUUCUACGGAAGGCAUGCAGUCGCGGAUAUUGCACAAUUCGGUCGAAAGCCGGAUGCGGCGACGCCGCGUGGGCGAUGAAGGCCUUCGUGGUUGUAAAGCCCUUUUAUGGGGGAAGAGACAACGACGGUACCCCAGGAAUAAGCGUCGGCUAACUACGUGCCAGCAGCCGCGGUAAAACGUAGGACGCAAGCGUUAUCCGGAUUUACUGGGCGUAAAGAGCGUCGAGGCGGUUCCGUAAGUUGGGCGUGAAAGCCCCGGGCUUAACCCGGGGAGGUCGUUCAAUACUGCGGGACUUGAGGGCACCAGAGGGAGGCGGAAUUCCCGUGUGUAGCGGUGAAACGCGUAGAUAUCGGGAGGAACACCAGUGGCCGAAGGCGGCCUCCUGGGCUGUUUCUGACGCCGAAGGCGAAAGCUAGGGGAGCGAACGGGAUUAGAAACCCCGGUAGUCCUAGCCGUAAACGAUGGAUGCUGGGUGUGGGGGGUAUAGAUCCCCUCCGUGCCGAAGCUAACGCGUUAAGCAUGACCGCCUGGGGAUUACGGCCGCAAGGAUUAAACUCAAACGAAUUGACGGGGGCCCGCACAAGCAGCGGAGAGUGUGGUUUAAGUUGAUGCUACACGAAGAACCUUACCUGGGCUUGACAUGUAGGUAGUAGUGAAGCGAAAGCGGAACGACCUUUCGGGGAGCCUACACAGGUGCGUGCAUGGCUGUCGUCAGUUCGGGCCGUGAGGCGUCGGGUUAAGUCCCGUAACGAACGCAACCCUUGCCCUGAGUUACAUGUGUCUAAGGGGACUGCCCGGGACUCCUGGGAGGAAGAUGGGGAUGACGUCAAGUCAGCAUGGCCGUUAUGUCCAGGGCUACACACACGUUACAAUGGCCGGUACAAUGGGUCGCCAAGCCGUGAGGCGGAGCCAAUCCCCCAGAGCCGGUCUAAGUUCGGAUUGUGGGCUGCAACUCGCGCAUAUGAAGCUGGAGUUGCUAGUAACCGCGCGUCAGCAAUAGUGCAGUGAAUACGUUCCCGGGCAUUGUACACACCGCCCGUCACGUCAUGGAAG